UAGGCCCACAGCACACGUUCAAAGCUUAAAAGAAAGGAGGAGUUGCAGGGCAAAGAAAAGCAGUCAUGGCCAGGUGACAAUACUUUUGAAACAAAAUACUAAACAACAAUGGAGACAUCAAUUGCAAGUCUGUACUGUUUACCAAAGUUAUUCAGACAAUUCGUCCCAUGGGUACAAGACGUUGACUGUGUUUUAUGGAUCAGCAAAAUAUAAUUUUAAAAUAUUAUAGCAUCUUUGGUAUUGCCAGGGUACAAAUUUUUUUGUUUUUUUUUGUUUUAAAGGUAGCUGUUCUAGAAACGGAUACUUAAUUUCAAAAAAUGUUUGAUAAUAAAGGAUUUUAGAUUUAAUAUUUCAAUACUGGACAGCAAUCUCAAAUAGACUUAUACGGGUGAAAAUUAAUAUAGAUAAUAAGCAAAAAGGACGAUAUCAGAGUUUUUUGACAAGGCAAGUUGGCAACAAAUAAGGUCCUUGAUUCUGUCUGCAUAUAAAAGAAGACAAGAAUGAUUCACAUUUGUUCACAUGUAUAAAGCAAGAGCCAAACACAGAGGCAUAAUGGUUUAUUUUUCAAAAAGAUUAAAGAACGUAUUCGCAUUUAGUUCACAUGUAUAAAGAAGGGGCUGGAAAUAUGAGAUUUUUGAAGCUUCAUGUGUUACAAGAAAUUUAUAUGAGUUUUGAAAUUUAUGUGCUGGUGGGAAUUUGCCAGCCUGUGGAGUUCCACGUCCUGAAAGGAUUCCUGAAAGUAGCGCAUCAGCAUAAUCAAUCAAAAUAACAUCAAGAAAGGGCCUCGCAGAUAUCUUUAGAUACUUCCAUCCUACUAUUCCUUAUCAGUACAAUGCUCAAGUUAAAGACUCAACAUCUACUUUACAUUGG